GUCACCAUGGGUUCUGGAUAGCCGUCGACCGCACACGUCAACAUGGCGGCUUGGCCCACAUCUGCUGUGGCGUUCACCUCUGACUGCCACACCCGGAUGGUUGGGAGCACUGCAACAGUCAAAGAUGGUGGGCGGAGGGGAACUGACGACAUCGCACACGAUGACGGCGGCGUCUCCUUCGGUGAACUCUUGCGGCGACGGCGCAUUUGUGAAGGUUGGACUUGCCAGGACUCAUCAGCAUGUCAUUCAAAUUGGGCCAUGCUAGCUGGAGAGUGUGAGUCAAGACUGUGAUGUCAAUUUGAAGGAUGAAAAUACUGCAAAAACCAUGAAUUUGGGACAAAAUAUGCAGUGAUUUGACCAAUGCUUGAAUCAUAGAUGCGAAAGGUAAGAGGCAGUCAAUGACUCAUAAAUGUCC